rnacentral:rRNA from 1 species
CGCGCAGGCGGUUUGUUUAAGUCGAAUGUGAAACGCCCCCGGCUCAACUGGGGGAGGGUCAUUCGAUACUGAUCGACUUGAAGGCAGGAGAGGGAAGUGGAAUUCCGGGUGUAGUGGUGAAAUGCGUAGAUAUCCGGAGGAACACCAGUGGCGAAGGCGACUUCCUGGCCUGUUCUUGACGCUGAGGCGCGAAAGCUGGGGGAAGGCAAACG